GUGACCAGUUGGAGUAACAGCCUUUCAGUUCAGAAGAAACUAUAAAACUGAUUCAAACAAAGAAACAGGCAGGAGUGCCUAGAGUCAGGAAACAUGGGUCCAUUCAUUCUUUGACAUUCCGUAUUAGCUUGACUCUGGUGGUGAAACAUAGAACCACGAGUGACAGUCAGCAAAGGCAUGAAAAGAAGUCAAAGAUUCAAGUUUUGCUGCCACCUUCAAAGUUUCCCAUUAAAGGGUUUCCUGCCAUCAAGCCAACAAGAUCC